rnacentral:rRNA from 1 species
GAGUUUGAUCAUGGCUCAGGAUGAACGCUGGCGGCGUGCUUAACACAUGCAAGUCGAACGAUGAAGCCCAGCUUGCUGGGUGGAUUAGUGGCGAACGGGUGAGUAACACGUGAGUAACCUGCCCUUGACUCUGGGAUAAGCCUGGGAAACUGGGUCUAAUACCGGAUAUGAGCUUCCAUCGCAUGGUGGUUGUUGGAAAGAUUUAUCGGUCAUGGAUGGACUCGCGGCCUAUCAGCUUGUUGGUGAGGUAAUGGCUCACCAAGGCGACGACGGGUAGCCGGCCUGAGAGGGUGACCGGCCACACUGGGACUGAGACACGGCCCAGACUCCUACGGGACGCAGCAGA